GGAUAUCCUGGCCGUGAUUGUCUUCUUCGGGCGAUCUGCGAAGGUUCCGAAUUAUCCACCUUGGGAACUGGGGUGUUUGGGGACAUUGUUCAUCUAGUUCUAACUCCAUCUGCAAGUUUGAAUGGCAACUUGACCGAAGUGUACCAAGAGGCGGAGCGCCAGGGCAAGAAGAAGGGCCGAUGUAGGAAGUACCGGAAAACCUGCUCAUUUAGUAUCCUGAAAAUGUUCACCUGGGUCGGGGACUUUCUCACCAAAACUGGCUUACCUAAUAAAGGCUCCAGUUAAGUUCA